GGGGGCAGCAGGGCGACUGGAUGCGCGCGGCGGGGCUGGGGCCGUGCGUUCAGACCACGUGGGCGCCAGGGGGCGCGAGAGGGUCUAUGUCCUGUGUGCGACCGCUGCGCGUGGGGGCGUCCCUGGAACGGUCUAUUAACUGAGUGCCAAUUCCGUGCCAGACACUGAAAAUAUGAGUGACUGUCCACCCACCAGAAUGGCUAAAAUGAGAAUGACGGACCUGACCAAGUGCAAGCAAAGAAGCAGAGCAACUGGACCCCUCAUAUUUCUGGAUUUUACUUCAAUUAAAAGUUUACUCAGGGGCUUCCCUGGUGGCGCAGUGGUUAAGAAUCUGCCUGCCAAUGCAGGGGACACAGGUUUGAUCCCUGGGCCGGGAAGAUCCCACAUGCCGCUGAGCUACUAAGCCCGUGCACCACAACUACUGAGCCUUCGCUCUACAGCCCAUGAGCCACGACUAUUGAGUCCACGUGUCACAACUACUGAAGCCCGCGUGCCUAAAGCCCAGUGCUGUGCAACAAGAGAAGCCACUGCAAUGAGAAGCCCACACACCUCAAGGAAGAGUAGCCCCCGCUCUCCGAAACUAGAUAAAGCCCCCGGCGCAGCAA